rnacentral:rRNA from 1 species
UACGUAGGGUGCAAGCGUUGUCCGGAAUUAUUGGGCGUAAAGAGCUCGUAGGCGGUCUGUCACGUCGGCUGUGAAAACCUGGGGCUCAACUCCGGGCCUGCAGCCGAUACGGGCAGACUAGAGUUCGGCAGGGGAGACUGGAAUUCCUGGUGUAGCGGUGAAAUGCGCAGAUAUCAGGAGGAACACCGGUGGCGAAGGCGGGUCUCUGGGCCGAAAUUGACGCUGAGGAGCGAAAGCGUGGGGAGCAAACAGG